rnacentral:rRNA from 1 species
UACGGAGGGAGCUAGCGUUGUUCGGAAUUACUGGGCGUAAAGAGCUCGUAGGCGGUUUGUCGCGUUGUUCGUGAAAACUCACAGCUUAACUGUGGGCGUGCGGGCGAUACGGGCAGACUGGAGUACUGCAGGGGAGACUGGAAUUCCUGGUGUAGCGGUGGAAUGCGCAGAUAUCAGGAGGAACACCGGUGGCGAAGGCGGGUCUCUGGGCAGUAACUGACGCUGAGGAGCGAAAGCGUGGGGAGCGAACAGG